rnacentral:piRNA from 1 species
GUGCUGUGGAGCCGCUGUGGGUUGAGGGG